GACGAACGCUGGCGGCGUGCUUAACACAUGCAAGUCGAACGGAAAGGCCUUUUCGGAGGUACUCGAGUGGCGAACGGGUGAGUAACACGUGGGUGAUCUGCCCUGCACUCUGGGAUAAGCCUGGGAAACUGGGUCUAAUACCGGAUAGGACUGCACUUUAGUGUGUGUGGUGGAAAGUUUGUUCGGUGUAGGAUGAGCCCGCGGCCUAUCAGCUUGUUGGUGGGGUAAUGGCCUACCAAGGCGGCGACGGGUAGCCGGACUGAGAGGUUGGUCGGCCACAUUGGGACUGAGAUACGGCCCAGACUCCUACGGGAGGCAGCAGUGGGGAAUAUUGCACAAUGGGCGCAAGCCUGAUGCAGCGACGCCGCGUGGGGGGUGACGGCCUUCGGGUUGUAAACUCCUUUCGCCAGGGACGAAGCGUUUUGUGACGGUACCUGGAGAAGAAGCACCGGCUAACUACGUGCCAGCAGCCGCGGUAAUACGUAGGGUGCAAGCGUUGUCCGGAAUUACUGGGCGUAAAGAGCUCGUAGGUGGUUUGUCACGUCGUCUGUGAAAUUCCACAGCUUAACUGUGGGCGUGCAGGCGAUACGGGCUGACUUGAGUACUGUAGGGGUAACUGGAAUUCCUGGUGUAGCGGUGAAAUGCGCAGAUAUCAGGAGGAACACCGAUGGCGAAGGCAGGUUACUGGGCAGUUACUGACGCUGAGGAGCGAAAGCAUGGGUAGCAAACAGG
rnacentral:rRNA from 1 species